CGAACGCUGGCGGCGUGCUUAACACAUGCAAGUCGAGCGGUAAGGCCCUUCGGGGUACACGAGCGGCGAACGGGUGAGUAACACGUGAGCAAUCUGCCCUUCUCUUUGGAAUAACCAUUGGAAACGAUGGCUAAUGCCGAAUAUGAACCCCCUUCGCAUGUUGGGGGUUGGAAAGCUCCGGCGGAGAUGGAUGAGCUCGCGGCCUAUCAGCUUGUUGGUGAGGUAAUGGCUCACCAAGGCAUUGACGGGUAGCCGGCCUGAGAGGGUGACCGGCCACACUGGGACUGAGACACGGCCCAGACUCCUACGGGAGGCAGCAGUGGGGAAUAUUGGACAAUGGGCGAAAGCCUGAUCCAGCAACGCCGCGUGAGGGAUGACGGCCUUCGGGUUGUAAACCUCUUUCAGCAGGGACGAAGCGAGAGUGACGGUACCUGCAGAAGAAGGACCGGCCAACUACGUGCCACCAGCCGCGGUAAUACGUAGGGUCCGAGCGUUGUCCGGAAUUAUUGGGCGUAAAGGGCUCGUAGGCGGUUUGUCACGUCGGGAGUGAAAACUCAGGGCUCAACCCUGAGCGUGCUUCCGAUACGGGCAGACUAGAGGUAUUCAGGGGAGGACCGAAUUCCUGGUGUAGCGGUGGAAUGCGCAGAUAUCAGGAGGAACACCGGUGGCGAAGGCGGUUCUCUGGGGAAUUACCUGACGCUGAGGAGCGAAAGCAUGGGGAGCGAACAGGAUUAGAUACCCUGGUAGUCCAUGCCGUAAACGUGAGGCGCUAGGUGUGGGGACCUUCCACGGUUUCCGUGCCGCAGCUAACGCAUUAAGCGCCCCGCCUGGGGAGUACGGCCGCAAGGCUAAAACUCAAAGGAAUUGACGGGGGCCCGCACAAGCGGCGGAGCACGCUGAUUAAUUCGAUGCAACGCGAAGAACCUUACCUGGGUUUGACAUAUGCCGGAAAGCUGCAGAGAUGUGGCCUCCUUUUGGCCGGUAUACAGGCGGUGCAUGGCUGUCGUCAGCUCGUGUCGUGAGAUGUUGGGUUAAGUCCCGCAACGAGCGCAACCCUCGUUCUAUGUUGCCAGCACGUUAUGGUGGGGACUCAUAGGAGACUGCCGGGGUCAACUCGGAGGAAGGUGGGGAUGACGUCAAGUCUUCAUGCCCCUUAUGUCCAGGGCUUCAAGCAUGCUACAAUGGCCGGUACAAAGGGCUGCGAAACUGUAAGGUGGAGCGAAUCCCAAAAAGCCGGUCUCAGUUCGGAUUGGGGUCUGCAACUCGACCCCAUGAAGUCGGAGUCGCUAGUAAUCGCAGAUCAGCAACGCUGCGGUGAAUACGUUCCCGGGCCU
rnacentral:rRNA from 1 species